rnacentral:rRNA from 1 species
CUACGGAGGGUGCAAGCGUUAAUCGGAAUUACUGGGCGUAAAGCGUACGUAGGCGGCAAGUUAAGUUAGAUGUGAAAGCCCCGGGCUCAACCUGGGAACUGCAUUUAAAACUGGCUUGCUAGAGUUGAGUAGAGGGGAGUGGAAUUUCAGGUGUAGCGGUGAAAUGCGUAGAGAUCUGAAGGAACACCAGUGGCGAAGGCGACUCCCUGGACUCGAACUGACGCUGAGGUACGAAAGCGUGGGUAGCAAACGGGAUUAGAUACCCUUGUAGUCC